rnacentral:lncRNA from 1 species
GUGGUAGCACAGAGCAGAAGGAGCUGGUUUUUGUUGCUCCAGUCUUGCUGGGGCACUGAGCUGGGGUAGCCUGCCAGAGCUGUCCCCUGGGAGGCCAGGGCAAUGCCAUGUGAUCCCUCUGCACACACCAGUCUGUGCACGUGGGCGGCCUGGGGGAUGCCAGUAGAGCUGCCACGGGGGCCUCUGUAGCUGAGGGCAGUUACCAGAGCAAGUACUCAGUGGAGAGCUGGGCCCACGACAGUUCCCGCUGUGGUGGCGUGAUGUGGGGGUGGAUGACACAGCACCAUGGCAGCACGGCUGUCUCUUUAAAACCUGUCUUGCUCUAUUUUAACCUCUGAGAGCACUGCUCCUCUGAGUUGCAUUCCCUGGCUUUGUCUUUUUGGAAACAGCACCUCCUUCCUUAGUGCUCAUGCUCCCUGUCCUAGAUCUCCACACCCCGCCCACCCGCGCUGCCUCACAACACGCCUCCCUUCAGCCUCUUUUUUUUCUCCGCUUGUUUGCCUCACCCCGAGUCCGAGUUCGAUUUGUUCCACACCUGAGUUCCUGUUCCUGGCCCACUCCACAUCAACCCCAAGCCUCGCCCCGCACCUCUGGCCCGCACUUCCAGUCCUGCACUUCCGGUUCCGCACCUCAGGCCCCGAACUUCCGGUUCCACACCUCAGGCCCCGCACUUCCGGUCCUGCACUUCCGGCCUUGCCCGCAGCACAGCGGUGGCGUGGACUGAGCUGCACUGAGCACCGUUGGAGUCGGGCUUUGCAGGAGCCCUUCACGGCCCCGACAUGCUGUGACUCUGAAUGCAUUUCAUUGUCAGCCCAAGUCCAUGAUCACCUGCAGGACAAACAGUCAAAGGCAGACCUGAGAACCAGGCUUCUGUCUGACUUUGCUGUUUACUUGCCGCACAAGCUCGCAGAGCGACUGAACGGGCCUCACCUGUGUCUCCGCAACAGUCAGGCAACUGAGGACAGAGCCUUUGUCUCCAAAGCACGCGUGCCUAAGAGAGCUGGCGCAGGGAGAAAAGCCUGUGCUGUCUCCUAUAAAUCUCCACCCUGGUGAGGUACCAGUCCCGGUGUGAUGAUUUAGAAGGAUAGCACUUUUCAGAACCUGAAGAGGGAGAGACAGGCAUGCAGAAGAAGCAAAAAUAGGGUCAAAAAAUGGGACUGAGUUUCCCAGGGUGACUUUUCAAGCACAGA